UAAUUACUACAUUGAUCAACAGAUCGACUUAUAAGAGUCAAGGUGGAGGAGGUUUCUGAAGAUGGCAAUGUUCAGACUCAAGGUGGGGUUGGGGGUGCGCUGCAAGGAAGGAAGAAAGGAGCAACCAUGACACCCGGCAAAUGUUCUAAGGAUGGCAAUGUUCAGACUCAAGGUGUUUCAUUACCGUCAACUUCCUAGUUAAGGUUCAAUGGCUGGAAUUGGAACAGGGGGGGAAUUUUCUUUAUCUCCCUAGUUAAGGUUCCUUGUUAUUGGUGACAGGAACUUGAAGAAGAGAACCAUGGAUGACAACCUUCUGGAGUGCCUUCAAUCUGUGAACAUUUGUUUGGUCAAAUAAAUUCAGUUGUGAACUUACAGCCUGUAAUACUGAUGCUUUUCAUGAGUCUCAGUUGAACAUUUGUUUGAUCAAUUAAAUUGUAACUUGAUGAUUCAGUAGUAAAGUACUGCUAAGCAUUUUGUUUAA